GAUGAACGCUGGCGGCGUGCCUAAUACAUGCAAGUCGAGCGAAUGGAUUAAGAGCUUGCUCUUAUGAAGUUAGCGGCGGACGGGUGAGUAACACGUGGGUAACCUGCCCAUAAGACUGGGAUAACUCCGGGAAACCGGGGCUAAUACCGGAUAACAUUUUGAACCGCAUGGUUCGAAAUUGAAAGGCGGCUUCGGCUGUCACUUAUGGAGGGAUUCGCGUCGCAUUAGCUAGUUGGUGAGGUAACGGCUCACCAAGGCAACGAUGCGUAGCCGACCUGAGAGGGCCAUCGGCCACACUGGGACUGAGACCCGGCCCAGACUCCUACGGGAGGCAGCAGUAGGGAAUCUUCCGCAAUGGACGAAAGUCUGACGGAGCAACGCCGCGUGAGUGAUGAAGGCUUUCGGGUCGUAAAACUCUGUUGUUAGGGAAGAACAAGUGCUAGUUGAAUAAGCUGGCACCUUGACGGUACCUAACCAGAAAGCCACGGCUAACUACGUGCCAGCCGCCGCCGUAA
rnacentral:rRNA from 1 species